GGGCCGCUAGCUCAAUUGGCAGAGCACCGGAUUCUUAAUCCGGAGGUUCCCGGAUCGUGGCCGGGGCGGCUCA
rnacentral:tRNA from 1 species